GGAAACUUUUUCAAAACUCCAAAACAGACUCUCGAGCGGACUCUGCUACGGUGAUUUUUUUUUUUUUUUAGGACAACUGCACAUAAACCUUUUUAGGGUUUCUUAAUCUUGUCAUUAUAUAAUCAAGAUUAUAACGGAUAUAUUUACGAUCAGUAUAAAUUAGAAGAAAAUAAUAAGCGAAAUCGAGACAGCUGGGUCUUCGGACGCUUCUGCUGCGGCAGAGGGGAAGCCCGGCCCGAGCGACUUACUGGAAAUUACUUUCCAGAAAAACCCCAAUAAAAAGUUACAGAGAUAAUGUUGACCGUCAUCUUCAUUUCUUCCAAAAUUACUUAUUUUUCACACUGGAUUGAAAUACGUUUCGCUAUAGCUUGCUCCUGUGUUAUUGGAUUUGGUCAAAUGGAGUCAAUAAGUCACCUCAUGGAAGCGGUAUAGAUUGCCCUCUCUAUUACACUAGCUGCAUAUUGCUGCAAGGUUAUUCAGUGCUGCUCGCCCAGGUCUCAUGUAAGCAAUGCAGGACGGUAUAGCAAACUAAAGUUCAAAUGAUGCAAAAUAGGAUUCAGAGUUCGUGACUGUAGACCUUUUCUGUUUUUUUCAGCCUGUCAUUGUUAUGAAGUCACCCAGAGCUUCAGAUU